rnacentral:miRNA from 1 species
AUCUUAUUCCGAGCAUUCCAGUAACCGUUUUUGUGUAUGUACCUAGCUGUACUAUAAGUAGCUGGUUUGUAUGGGAUGGUUAAAAA